rnacentral:misc_RNA from 1 species
UGAUCGUGUCGGCAUGUGAGUGGUGAUGGAUUUGUAUGCUGUGGUGGGCUCCCUGCUAUUGUGCAGCUGACCRCCUUCGCUGCAAGGGCAUCAUGGAGGACGUGCU